rnacentral:rRNA from 1 species
UGAGGAAUCAGCAUCGGCUAACUCCGUGCCAGCAGCCGCGGUAAGACGGAGGAUGCAAGCGUUAUCCGGAAUUAUUGGGCGUAAAGCGUCCGCAGGUGGUUUUUCAAGUCUGCUGUCAAAGCGCAGAGCUCAACUCCGUAAAGGCAGUGGAAACUGUGAAGUCCUAGAGUAUGGUAGGGGUAGAGGGAAUUCCCGGUGUAGCGGUGAAAUG